rnacentral:lncRNA from 1 species
GGAGAUUAGGCAAAAUGCGUGCAAGAGAGAGAGAGAUAGAAGUUACUUAUAUCACUCAUGUAUAGGGAGUCUUGUAUUAAUACAUACAUAAGUGAAAGAGUAGGCCCUAAGAUGACAAUUUGUAAACAAUCCUUUUCACAUUGUAUAUACAGGUUCUUAUUAUUCCCAAUCGGGGUCAAAGAAUCCAGCAUCCUUCAUCUCUGAAUAGUAGACAUUCUCCAUGUUCAGAUCUUCCUCCUGCAUCAAAACCAGCACCAAAUCAUUUGAACAUUGCAACAAUCACAUGCCUAGAGGGAUGCUUUGGUGUAAACGAGUUAAGAAACAUUUUGGGAUAAACAUGAAGGGACAUGAGUGUAAACGAGUUAAGAAACUGUCCUAAGCUACAGAAGGUGGGAUUAACAGAGAUCAAAUACAGUUCAACAACAUAAAAGAAGACACAACAUUGUGAAAAAUCUAAUCUUUAAACAAUCCCGAAAGGUAACAAGAACACAUACAUAAUAAUCAAGAAACAAGACACAACAAAGCUAACAGAGACAAAACAAGAACACAAACACAUAAAAAAACACCUACAUUCUCAAAUCGAUUCACAAGAACCCAAGAACAUAUACAUAAACACUAAUCUAUAUGCUUUUUACAGAGACUAACCACGAUCAAAACACAUGCAAAGAAGAAUAAAAACAAAAUUUCAUACCAUGAAAACAAAAUUUCAUACCAUGAAAAAAAAACAAAGCUUUUGACUUAUCAAUGAUAUAAACCGGAGAAGAACGAUGUGGAUGUAGAUUCCGACCGACGGAGGAGGCGAUGUUGGAUGGCUCCGAGCUCGACGAGACAAAGGAGACGCGAAGGUGAUAUGGAAGAGACGACGCCAUCGAGAAGAAGAGGAAUUAGGUUUUGAUGAUUU